UUUUAAACCCUACAGUAACGAUACCCUUUUUGCUAGACAUGAUUAACAUUACAAGAAGUAUCACAAAAAAGGUAAAGCGUAUGGCGGGCUGCUGU
rnacentral:sRNA from 1 species